UACGUAGGUGGCAAGCGUUGUCCGGAUUUACUGGGCGUAAAGAGCGCGCAGGCGGUCGUUCAAGUCGCGUGUGAAAGCCCCCGGCUCAACUGGGGAGGGUCACGCGAUACUGAUCGACUGGAAGGCAGGAGAGGGUAGUGGAAUUCCCGGUGUAGUGGUGAAAUGCGUAGAUAUCGGGAGGAACACCAGUGGCGAAGGCGACUACCUGGCUGUUCUUGACGCUGAGGCGCGAAAGCUAGGGGAGCGAACAGG
rnacentral:rRNA from 1 species